rnacentral:rRNA from 1 species
GAUGAACGCUGGCGGCGUGCCUAAUACAUGCAAGUCGAGCGAACAGACGAGGAGCUUGCUCCUCUGACGUUAGCGGCGGACGGGUGAGUAACACGUGGAUAACCUACCUAUAAGACUGGGAUAACUUCGGGAAACCGGAGCUAAUACCGGAUAAUAUAUUGAACCGCAUGGUUCAAUAGUGAAAGACGGUUUUGCUGUCACUUAUAGAUGGAUCCGCGCCGCAUUAGCUAGUUGGUAAGGUAACGGCUUACCAAGGCAACGAUGCGUAGCCGACCUGAUAGGGUGAUCGGCCACCUUGGAACUGAGACACGGUCCAGACUCCUACGGGAGGCAGCAGUAGGGAAUCUUCCGCAAUGGGCGAAAGCUUGACGGAGCAACGCCGCGUGAGUGAUGAAGGUCUUCGGAUCGUAAAACUCUGUUAUUAGGGAAGAACAAAUGUGUAAGUAACUAUGCACGUCUUGACGGUACCUAAUCAGAAAGCCACGGCUAACUACGUG